GGAUGCAUAGCUCAGUGGUAGAGCACUUCACUCGUAGUGAAUAUGUCACAGGUUCGAUUCCUGUUGUAUCCA
rnacentral:tRNA from 1 species